rnacentral:lncRNA from 1 species
CAUAUAUAAUAUAUAUGUGUGUGUGUACACACACACACAUAUAUACACACACACACAACAAGUUGCAGAAGGGGAAGGGAGUGGAGGGGUUAAUCUUGGGGAAUCUUCUGCACUUAGCAAGAUCGUGACCCUCCCACACAGUACAGUAACUUAUAUACAUACCUGGAGGAAGGGAUGCUUUGCUUUGGGCUUCCUAAAAAUAUUUGGUGAUGGCUGAACCCUCCAACAUGCUCAUAGGACCGGACUCUGAUGCACCCACAAAGGCUGGCCUAGACGAGCAUCUGCUAAAGGCUACUCGAAGGUUCAGGAUUCUAGUCAAUGGAACAAGAGGAAGACUCGAGUGCCUGUAAGACCAGGUCCCUUUGAUGAGGCUGCAGCUAACCCAGAGAAGGAGGGUCGUCUUCUCCUGAGUUGUUGUAUCCUUCACGGUUUUUCUACUUGCAGGGCACCCUCUUCAGUUAUCCUCAGCCAUAAGGGUGGUGAUUUUGACUGGAGGAGGAAGCAGCUUGCAGGUGAGAAUAAUGGUGGGGAGUUGUAAAACCUGAAGAACUUCAUGUCCCAGCAGCAGUACCAAAGAUCUAUUUUCUGACACCCUCCCAUAACUGCCUCCCCCCCGCUCCCUAACAGAAUAUUGUUAUUUUUGUUGAUCCCGUGAAAAUAAUUCUACCUC